CUCGCUAACAAAUCAUUUGCGAACUUUUCUGCUUGUCUGUGUCUCGUUAGACUCGUUAGGUAUUAACAGUUAUUAACAGCACCGAGCGCCGCCACUGAGUACCACUGGCCACUGAGUUUGAUGUCUACUCGUUUAAUAGGAAGUCUAAUAGAAAGUUAUAACGUUAA